rnacentral:rRNA from 1 species
GACGAACGCUGGCGGCGUGCUUAACACAUGCAAGUCGAACGGAAAGGCCCUGCUUUUGUGGGGUGCUCGAGUGGCGAACGGGUGAGUAACACGUGAGUAACCUGCCCUUGACUUUGGGAUAACUUCAGGAAACUGGGGCUAAUACCUGAUAGGAGCUCCUGCUGCAUGGUGGGGGUUGGAAAGUUUCGGCGGUUGGGGCUGGACUCGCGGCUUAUCAGCUUGUUGGUGGGGUAGUGGCUUACCAAGGCUUUGACGGGUAGCCGGCCUGAGAGGGUGACCGGCGACAUUGGGACUGAGAUACGGCCCAGACUCCUAAGGGAGGGAGCAGUGGGGAAUAUUGCACAAUGGGCGGAAGCCUGAUGCAGCAACGCCGCGUGCGGGAUGACGGCCUUCGGGUUGUAAACCGCUUUCGCCUGUGACGAAGCGUGAGUGACGGUAAUGGGUAAAGAAGCACCGGCUAACUACGUG